GUCGAACGAGACCUUCGGGUCUAGUGGCGGACGGGUGAGUAACGCGUGGGAAUCUGCCUAGCGGCGGGGAAUAACAGUUGGAAACGACUGCUAAUACCGCAUACGCCCCAUGGGGGAAACGCUUCGGCCACCGCUAGAGGAGCCCGCGUCCGAUUAGCUAGUUGGUGAGGUAACGGCUCACCAAGGCGACGAUCGGUAGCUGGUCUGAGAGGAUGAUCAGCCACACUGGGACUGAGACACGGCCCAGACUCCUACGGGAGGCAGCAGUGGGGAAUAUUGGACAAUGGGGGAAACCCUGAUCCAGCGACGCCGCGUGGGUGAUGAAGGCCUUCGGGUUGUAAAGCCCUUUCGUCCACGAUGAUGAUGACAGUAGUGGAAGAAGAAGCUCCGGCUAACUUCGUGCCAGCAGCCGCGGUAAUACGAAGGGGGCUAGCGUUGCUCGGAAUUACUGGGCGUAAAGCGCACGUAGGCGGCCAUGACAGUCAGAUGUGAAAGGCCUGGGCUCACCCCGGGAAUUGCAUUUGAUACUGCAUGGCUAGAGUCCAAGAGAGGGUAGUGGAAUUCCCAGUGUAGAGGUGAAAUUCGUAGAUAUUGGGAAGAACACCAGUGGCGAAGGCGGCUACCUGGCUGGUACUGACGCUCAGGUGCGGAAGCGUGGGGAGCGAACAAGAUUAGAUACCCUGGUAGUCCACGCCGUAAACGAUGGGUGCUAGAUGUCGGGCAGCUUGCUGUUCGGUGUCGUAGCUAACGCGUUAAGCACCCCGCCUGGGGAGUACGGCCGCAAGGUUAAAACUCAGAGGAAUUGACGGGGGCCCGCACAAGCGGUGGAGCAUGUGGUUUAAUUCGAUGCAACGCGAAGAACCUUACCAGGUCUUGACAUGGGAAGUAUGGGCUCCAGAAACGGAGUCCUUCAGUUCGGCUGGCUUCCACACAGGUGCUGCAUGGCUGUCGUCAGCUCGUGUCGUGAGAUGUUGGGUUAAGUCCCGCAACGAGCGCAACCCUCGCUUUCAGUUGCCAUCAUUCAGUUGGGCACUCUGAAGGAACUGCCGGUGACAAGCCGGAGGAAGGUGGGGAUGACGUCAAGUCCUCAUGGCCCUUACGACCUGGGCUACACACGUGCUACAAUGGCGGUGACAGUGGGCAGCUACCCUGCGAAGGGAUGCUAAUCCUCAAAAGCCGUCUCAGUUCGGAUUGCACUCUGCAACUCGAGUGCAUGAAGUUGGAAUCGCUAGUAAUCGUGGAUCAGCAUGCCACGGUGAAUACGUUCUCGGGCCUUGUACACACCGCCCGUCACACCAUGGGAGUUGGUUUUACCUUAAGCCGGUGCGCUAACCGCAAGGAGGCAGCCGACCACGGUAAGGUCAGCGACUGGGGUGAAGUCGGAACAAGCUA
rnacentral:rRNA from 1 species